rnacentral:rRNA from 1 species
GACGAACGCUGGCGGCAUGCCUAAUACAUGCAAGUCGAGCGAACAGAUGAAGUGCUUGCACUUCUGACGUUAGCGGCGAACGGGUGAGUAACACGUAAGGAAUCUACCUAUAAGCGGGGGAUAACAUUCGGAAACGGGUGCUAAUACCGCAUAAUAUCUUCUUCCGCAUGGAAGAAGAUUGAAAGACGGCUCUGCUGUCACUCAUAGAUGACCUUGCGGUGCAUUAGUUAGUUGGUGGGGUAAUGGCCUACCAAGACAAUGAUGCAUAGCCGACCUGAGAGGGUGAUCGGCCACAUUGGGACUGAGACACGGCCCAAACUCCUACGGGAGGCAGCAGUAGGGAAUCUUCCGCAAUGGGCGAAAGCCUGACGGAGCAAUGCCGCGUGAGUGAAGAAGGCCUUCGGGUCGUAAAACUCUGUUAUAAGAGAAGAACAAAUUGUAGAGUAACUGCUACAGUCUUGACGGUAUCUUAUCAGAAAGCCACGGCUAACUACGUGCCAGCCGCCGCAGUAA